GACGAACGCUGGCGGCGUGCCUAAUACAUGCAAGUCGAGCGGACCGAACGAGGGCUUGCUCUUGUUUGGUCAGCGGCGGACGGGUGAGUAACACGUGGGCAACCUGCCCGCAAGACCGGGAUAACUCCGGGAAACCGGAGCUAAUACCGGAUAACACCGAAGACCGCAUGGUCUUCGGUUGAAAGGCGGCCUUUGGGCUGUCACUUGCGGAUGGGCCCGCGGCGCAUUAGCUAGUUGGUGAGGUAACGGCUCACCAAGGCGACGAUGCGUAGCCGGCCUGAGAGGGUGACCGGCCACACUGGGACUGAGACACGGCCCAGACUCCUACGGGAGGCAGCAGUAGGGAAUCUUCCGCAAUGGGCGAAAGCCUGACGGAGCGACGCCGCGUGAGCGAAGAAGGCCUUCGGGUCGUAAAGCUCUGUUGUGAGGGACGAAGGAGCGCCGUUCGAAGAGGGCGGCGCGGUGACGGUACCUCACGAGGAAGCCCCGGCUAACUACGUGCCAGCAGCCGCGGUAAUACGUAGGGGGCGAGCGUUGUCCGGAAUUAUUGGGCGUAAAGCGCGCGCAGGCGGUUCCUUAAGUCUGAUGUGAAAGCCCACGGCUCAACCGUGGAGGGUCAUUGGAAACUGGGGGACUUGAGUGCAGGAGAGGAGAGCGGAAUUCCACGUGUAGCGGUGAAAUGCGUAGAGAUGUGGAGGAACACCAGUGGCGAAGGCGGCUCUCUGGCCUGCAACUGACGCUGAGGCGCGAAAGCGUGNGGAGCAAACAGGAUUAGAUACCCUGGUAGUCCACGCCGUAAACGAUGAGUGCUAAGUGUUAGAGGGGUCACACCCUUUAGUGCUGCAGCUAACGCGAUAAGCACUCCGCCUG
rnacentral:rRNA from 1 species